CUUGGACGGGGGCGAGACUAACCCAUAGCCCGGCCCCCUAUAGCUAGGCGGUCGGGGACUGGAGACGUUGGACCGGGGGUGGAGGGAUGCUGGUGACGUCUGGGGCAGAUCGUUCCCGCUAGAGGAAAUUAACCAUGCCUGCAUUUUUUUAUUUCCCCUCCCUCAGCGCAAGAAAGAUGGGGCUGAAUUAAAACACUUUUACAUCACAGACGUGCAUCCAAAGGGUUUGCUUGCCCAUUGUAAUUGCAGUGUAACCUUUGCCUGCAAGACAGUUUCCAAGGGGGAAGUGACUGAAGACAUGUCACCUGAAUCAUCCAAGAGACACUGCAAGAGAAAGUUGUUUUGUUUCUAGUGCUGGAACCAAGUAUAUUGAAACAAGCGAAGGAGGAUGGAUUUUCCAAACUAUCUGGACAAUAAAAGUCUGGCUUUUAUAGCCCUUGGAAAGGAAAGAAAAUAUGCUGUGCUAUGUGACUUCAGAUAAAGAGCCUUGAAAGGAUUAAAAAAAAA